rnacentral:rRNA from 1 species
UACGAAGGUCCCGAGCGUUAUCCGGAUUCAUUGGGUUUAAAGGGUGCGUAGGCGGAUCGAUAAGUCAGUGGUGAAAGCCUGAUGCUUAACAUCAGAACUGCCAUUGAUACUGUCGAUCUUGAGUCUAGUUGAAGUGGGCGGAAUGUGUCAUGUAGCGGUGAAAUGCUUAGAUAUGACACAGAACACCGAUUGCGAAGGCAGCUCACUAAGCUAGUACUGACGCUGAGGCACGAAAGCGUGGGGAUCAAACAGG